rnacentral:tRNA from 1 species
UUGUAUAUGUAAAUUGUAUAUUAUAUUUUUAAAUGAUUCUAUCUAUUAAUAUAUAUAUAAUUUUACAUUUAUUAAUAAUAAAUAAUAAACAAUAUUAUGUAUUAGUAGACAAUAUUAUUAUUAUAAGAAUAAAUUAAUAUUUAUAUUAAUAAUUGUAGAUAUAACAUUCUCUUACAUUUUUGAAAUAUCAAAAUAUUGAAUUUUUAUUUUUUAUAUAUAUAAAAUAUAUAUAUAAUAUAUAUUAUAUAAA